rnacentral:rRNA from 1 species
GCCUUACCUACCCUUGACAUGUACGGAAGUCCGCUGAGAGGUGGAUGUGCCCGAAAGGGAGCCGUAACACAGGUGCUGCAUGGCUGUCGUCAGCUCGUGUCGUGAGAUGUUGGGUUAAGUCCCGCAACGAGCGCAACCCUUGUCCCUAGUUGCUACGCAAGAGCACUCCAGGGAGACUGCCGGUGACAAACCGGAGGAAGGUGGGGAUGACGUCAAGUCCUCAUGGCCCUUAUGGGUAGGGCUUCACACGUCAUACAAUGGUCGGAACAGAGGGUUGCCAAGCCGCGAGGUGGAGCCAAUCCCAGAAACCGAUCGUAGUCCGGAUCGCAGUCUGCAACUCGACUGCGUGAAGCUGGAAUCGCUAGUAA